UUUUUGGGUAAUUUACUGAUUUUUUUAUUAUAUAUAUGUAUAGAGGUUAAUUUUACUGAUUUUUUAAAUUAUUAUUAAUUAAUUAAUUCAUUGUUUAAUACUUUUAAAAUAUUUGAUGUAAAAAAAUUAAAGACAUAGAAACAUUUUGUCAUCAUGGUACUGCCACGUCAAUAAUAAGUUUGACACAUCAGCAAAAAUUUGACCAAAUUGAGUUUAAGGACUAAAAUUCAAAAAAUCUAAAAUUGGG
rnacentral:lncRNA from 1 species